AUGAACCUUGGGCACGUCGAGGAGGAGGUCGGGAAGCUCCGGGAGGAGAUCCAGAGGCUCGGCCAGCAGCAGCCCGACGGCUCCUACAAGGUCAAGUUUGGUGUCAUCUUCAACGACGACCGAUGCGCAAACAUAUUUGAAGCAUUAGUUGGCACCUUGCGGGCCGCCAAGAAGAGGAAAGUUGUCACCUACGACGGUGAAAUGCUUCUGCAGGGUGUUCAUGACAAUGUGGAGAUAACCCUCUUCCCUCCCCCCACGGUUGCUGCCACUUGA
rnacentral:rRNA from 1 species